CUGUUAUAGAUAAUUUAAUGUAUACCUGUAAGCAGGGUCGUAUUUAAGGCGUGGUUUAGGGGGGGAAUAGACCCCACAAUAUAUGUUAAAGAGUGCUAAAUUGUAUGUUAUUUCAUUAGGGUAAAGUUACUAUCUACUUUUGAUUUUUAAAUGGCAACCUGUAUUUAAAACUAUAAAUUGAUGGAGUAUUAAUUCAAAUAAAUUUUGGUGUUUAAGUUUUUGAUUUCUGUCAACGUCCCGUCAGUUGACGAGAUAUUCCACUUUUAAGUUUGGUUUGAAGGACUGUAGUAGAGUAUCAUGUGUGUGGCAGUACGGCACGCGGCAUGUUAAUAACGUAUCACCACUUUCCUCUAACCCAAACUUCUGAAAGGAAAGCUGACUAGGAAGGUACUUUAGAGAGG